UGUGUAGGCGGUAUAUUAAGUCUGUUGUUAAAUCCCCCGGCCUAACUGGGGAACUGCAGUGGAAACUGAUACGCUAGAGGUUGGAAGAGAGAAGUGGAAUUCUCUGAGUAGCGGUAAAAUGCGUAGAUCUCGAGAGGAACACCAAUGGCGAAGGCAGCUUCUUGGUCCAUACCUGACGCUGAAACACGAAAGUGUGGGGAGCAAACA
rnacentral:rRNA from 1 species